GAUGAACGCUGGCGGCGUGCCUAAUACAUGCAAGUCGAGCGAGUGGCGGACGGGUGAGUAAUGUCUGGGAAACUGCCCGAUGGAGGGGGAUAACUCCUGGAAACGGUAGCUAAUACCGCAUACCAUCGGAUGUGCCCAGAUGGGAUUAGCUAGUAGGUGGGGUAACGGCUCACCUAGGCGACGAUCCCUAGCUGGUCUGAGAGGCUGACCAGCCACACUGUAACUGAGACACGGUCCAGACUCCUACGUGAGGCAGCAGUGGGGAAUAUUGGACAAGGGGCGUAAGCCUGAUGCAGCCAUGCCGCGUGAAUGAAGAAGGCCUUCGGGUUGUAAAGUACUUUCAGCGAGGAGGCGUUACUCGCAGAAGAAGCACCGGCUAACUCCGUGCCAGCAGCCGCGGUAAUUC
rnacentral:rRNA from 1 species